rnacentral:rRNA from 1 species
GAUGAACGCUGGCGGCGUGCCUAAUACAUGCAAGUCGAGCGAACAGACGAGUGGCUGGCUCCUCUGACGUUAGCGGCGGGCGUGUGAGUAACACGGGGAUAACCUACGUAUAAGACUGUAAUAAGGUCGAGAAACCGUUACUAAUGCCUGAGAAUAUAGUAAGCCACAUGGUUCAAUAGUGAAAGACGGUUUUGCUGUUGGUUAUAGAUGGAUCCGCGCCUCAUUAGCUAGUUGGUAAGGUAACGGCUUACCAAGGCAACGAUGCGUAGCCGACCUGAGAGGGUGAUCAGCCACACUGGAACUGAGACACGGCCCAGACUCCUACGGGAGGCAGCAGUAGGGAAUCUUCGGCAAUGGGCGAAAGCCUGACGGAGCAACGCCGCGUGAGUGAUGAAGGUCUUCGGAUCGUAAAACUCUGUUAUCCGGGAAGAACACAUGUGUACGUAACUAUGCACGUCUUGACGGUACCUAAUCAGAAAGCCACGGCUAACUACGUG